GGUAUCAUAAUGACAGUUCAUUUUCAGGAUAAUUUCGUUGUCAAAGGAAUGGAAGAAUAUUAAGGAGAACAAGUCCUCAUCUCUCCAAAGACCCUUCAUCCUUCAUUUCACAAUAGUCUUUAUUGGUCUGCUGGAGUUUGCUGGAGGUCCACUCCAGACCCUGUUUGCCUGGGUAUCACCGGCAGAGGCUGCAGAGCAGCAAAGAUUGCUGCCUGCUCCUUCCUCUGGAAGCUUCAUCCCAAAGGGGCACCCGCCUGAUGCCAGCCAGAGCUCUCCUGUACGAGAGAUGCCCUGCCCAGUGAGGAGGAAUCUAGAGAAGCAGUCUGGCCAUAGCUUUGCUGCACUGCGAUGUUACCUUUUUGACAUAACCAAGUAAACCAACAGGCUUGAAGACACACCGAUCAUAAAAAUGAAUCUAAGAACCCAGGUGUAAUCUUCUGAUUUCUAGGUCCCAGCGCUUCUCAUUUUUAAGCAGAGUUUCAUAGAAAUACUCUAUUCAAACAAACAAACAAAAAAAACAGAAAAGCCACAGACCUCUGUAACAUUUAAGCAGAGGUGUCCU
rnacentral:lncRNA from 1 species